rnacentral:rRNA from 1 species
AGAGUUUGAUCAUGGCUCAGAACGAACGUUGGCGGCGUGGAUUAGGCAUGCAAGUCGAACGAGAAAGUGGCCUUCGGGCCGCGAGUAAAGUGGCGAACGGGUGAGUAUCGCGUGGAGAACCUGCCUGGAAGUGCGGAAUAACCUUUCUAACGGGGGGCUAAUACCGCAUGUGAAGAUAGUGUCGCAUGGCACUUUCUUUAAAGGUGGCCUCUGUUUCAAGCUAUCGCUUCCAGAUGGCUCCGCGUCCUAUUAGCUUGUUGGUGGGGUAACGGCUCACCAAGGCUUCGAUGGGUAGCCGGCCUGAGAGGGUGUCCGGCCACACUGGGACUGAGAUACGGCCCAGACUCCUACGGGAGGCAGCAGUCGAGAGGCAUCGGCAAUGGGGGAAACCCUGACCGUGCGACGCCGCGUGGGGGAUGAAGGCCUUCGGGUUGUAAACUCCUGUCAGUUGGGAAGAACGGCUAUCCGGUUAAUAUCCGGGUAGUUUGACGGUACCAGCAGAGGAAGCUCCGGCUAACUCCGUGCCAGCAGCCGCGGUAAUACGGGGGGAGCAAACGUUGUUCGGAUUAACUGGGCGUAAAGGGGAAGUAGGCGGCUUGGUCAGUGAGACGUGAAAAGCUUCGGCCCAACCGAAGACCUGCGUUUCAUACUGCCAAGCUUGAGUCCGGGAGGGGAGACGGGAAUUCCUGGUGUAGCGGUGAAGUGCGCAGAUAUCAGGAAGAACACCGGUGGCGAAGGC